UCCUGACUGACCGAUAGUGAACCAGUACCGUGAGGGAAAGGCGAAAAGAACCCCGGCGAGGGGAGUGAAAAAGAACCUGAAACCGUGUACGUACAAGCAGUGGGAGCACGCUUAGGCGUGUGACUGCGUACCUUUUGUAUAAUGGGUCAGCGACUUAUAUUCUGUAGCAAGGUUAACCGAAUAGGGGAGCCGAAGGGAAACCGAGUCUUAACUGGGCGUUAAGUUGCAGGGUAUAGACCCGAAACCCGGUGAUCUAGCCAUGGGCAGGUUGAAGGUUGGGUAACACUAACUGGAGGACCGAACCGACUAAUGUUGAAAAAUUAGCGGAUGACUUGUGGCUGGGGGUGAAAGGCCAAUCAAACCGGGAGAUAGCUGGUUCUCCCCGAAAGCUAUUUAGGUAGCGCCUCGUGAAUUCAUCUCCGGGGGUAGAGCACUGUUUCGGCAAGGGGGUCAUCCCGACUUACCAACCCGAUGCAAACUGCGAAUACCGGAGAAUGUUAUCACGG
rnacentral:rRNA from 1 species